rnacentral:rRNA from 1 species
AUUGAACGCUGGCGGCAGGCCUAACACAUGCAAGUCGAACGAGUGGCGGACGGGUGAAUAAUGUCUGGGAAAGUGCGUGAUGGAGGGAGCAAACUACUGGAAACGGUGGCUACUACCGCAUACCAUCGGAUGUGCCCAGAUGGGAUUAGCUACGAGGGGGGGUAAAGGCUCACCAAGGCGACGAUCCUUAGCUGGUCUGAGAGGAUGACCAGCCACACUGGAACUGAGACACGGCCCAGACUCCUACGGGAGGCAGCAGUGGGGAAUAUUGCACAAUGGGCGAAAGCCGGAUGCAGCCAUGCCGCGUGUAUGAAGAAGGUCUUCGGGUUGUAAAGUACUUUCAGUGGGGAGGCGUUACCCACACAAGAAGCACCGGCUAACUCCGUGCCAGCAGCCGCGGUAAUAC